rnacentral:rRNA from 1 species
GACGAACGCUGGCGGCGUGCUUAACACAUGCAAGUCGAACGGAAAGGCCCUGCUUUUGUGGGGUGCUCGAGUGGCGAACGGGUGAGUAACACGUGAGUAACCUGCCCUUGACUUUGGGAUAACUUCAGGAAACUUGGGCUAAUCCCGGAUAGGAGCUCCUGCUGCAUGGUGGGGGUGGGAAAGUUUCGGCGGUUGGGGAGGGACUCGCGGCUUAUCGGGUUGAUGGUGGGGUAGUGGGUUACCAAGGCUUUGACGGGUAGCCGGCCUGAGCGGGUGACCGGCCACAUUGGGACUGGGAUACGGCCCAGCCUCCUACGCGAGGCAGCAGUGGGGUAUGUUGCACAAUGGGAGGAAGCCUGAUGCAGCACCGCCGCGUGCGGGAUGACGGCCUGCGGUUUGUAAUCCGCUUUCGCCUGUGCCGAAGCGUGAGUGACGGUAAUGGGUAAAGAAGCACCGGCUAACUACGUG